rnacentral:tRNA from 1 species
CGGGGUGUAGCUCAGCUCGGUAGAGCACCGGAUCUGGGAUCCGGCGGUCGAGAGUUCAAAUCUCUCCGCCCCGA